rnacentral:sRNA from 1 species
AUCGGGUUCGAGCCUAUCCAUCCCUUCCGGGCAUGUGUCCGGGCGAUGGGCUCCGCCCGCCGGACGCCUGCCAGCGCCCCCCAUUGCAGCGGGCGUCCGGUCGCCGCCUCCCGCUUUGCCCCCUAGUCUUGCGGGAGGCGGCCCCCCA